AUUGAACGCUGGCGGCAGGCUUAACACAUGCAAGUCGAGCGGGGGAAGGUAGCUUGCUACCGGACCUAGCGGCGGACGGGUGAGUAAUGCUUAGGAAUCUGCCUAUUAGUGGGGGACAACAUCUCGAAAGGGAUGCUAAUACCGCAUACGUCCUACGGGAGAAAGCAGGGGAUCUUCGGACCCUGCGCUAAUAGAUGAGCCUAGUCAGAUUAGCUAGUUGGUGGGGUAAAGGCCUACCAAGGCGACGAUCUGUAGCGGGUCUGAGAGGAUGAUCCGCCACACUGGGGCUGAGAGACGGCCCAGACUCCUACGGGAGGCAGCAGUGGGGAAUAUUGGACAAUGGGGGGAACCCUGAUCCAGCCAUGCCGCGUGUGUGAAGAAGGCCUUAUGGUUGUAAAGCACUUUAAGCGAGGAGGAGGCUACUUUAGUUAAUACCUAGAGAUAGUGGACGUUACUCGCAGAAUAAGCACCGGCUAACUCUGUGCCAGCAGCCGCGGUAA
rnacentral:rRNA from 1 species